CUUUUUUUUUAAUAUUAUUUUCUUCCUUCUUUUAAAUGUAAUGGUCGGAUCCUCAUUGAAGAUUAAAAUGUGAUCAAAGGGAAGGGGCCUGUGGGUUUAAUUUCAUUUCAAAAAAUUAUGACAAUACUAUACAUUAAUAAAGAGACAAAUUAGACAAGCCUCAUAUUGUGGUGAGAGUCAAUAAAAUCAGUCAUGUGAGAUGUACCAACAGGCAGAAGAAAAGGAGUGAACCAUUAAAUGAUAUAACGUGUGGCUCAACCGUAGCUAGCAUGACUUUUUUUUCCCCUUUUUUGCCUCAUUUUAUUUUUAGUGGAAAUGGGUGCAAAUCCAAGUUGCACCACUGAAGAAUCGGUUGUGCAAAUAUAUUCUUAAUUCUAAAUGGUGUUAUAGAUGGUAGGAAAUAUGUAUCUGGUAACGUAUGAUAUCACAUCAUAUUAAUAAUGUACACGAUUAAAAUUUUAAUUUGGAUUAUUUUGUCUAGAGUAAGCCAGGGCCACUACUCUAGUGUGAUUCCAUAAGAAUAGACUAAGCAUACAACAAAAAGAACAAAAAAUAUGACUGGUACAAGCAA